GAUGAACGCUGGCGGCGUGCCUAAUACAUGCAAGUCGAGCGAACAGACGAGGAGCUUGCUCCUCUGACGUUAGCGGCGGACGGGUGAGUAACACUUGGAUAACCUACCUAUAAGACUGGGAUAACUUCGGGAAACCGGAGCUAAUACCGGAUAAUAUAUUGAACCGCAUGGUUCAAUAGUGAAAGACGGUUUUGCUGUCACUUAUAGAUGGAUCCGCGCCGCAUUAGCUAGUUGGUAAGGUAACGGCUUACCAAGGCAACGAUGCGUAGCCGACCUGAGAGCGUGAUCGGCCACACUGGAACUGAGACACGGUCCAGACUACUAAGGGAGGCAGCAGUAGGGAAUCUUACGCAAUGGGCGAAAGCCUGACGGAGCAACGACGCGUGAGUGAGGAAGGUGUUCGGAUAGUAAAACUCUGUUAUUAGGGAAGAACAAAUGUGUAAGUAACUAUGAACGUCUUGACGGUACCUAAUCAGAAAGCCACGGCUAACUACGUG
rnacentral:rRNA from 1 species